rnacentral:siRNA from 1 species
UACCGCAUUUCCUUACGUCGCUA